GGCUGCGUAGCUCAGUGGUAGAGCAGCGGUUUCAUAAGCCGCGCGCCGAGGGUUCGACCCCCCCCGCAGCCA
rfam:Elusimicrobia bacterium RIFOXYA2_FTLL_39_19 rifoxya2_full_scaffold_437, whole genome shotgun sequence.